GCACCGCGGCCGCCCCACCCACCGCGGGGAGGGAGCGGGGGCGGCCAGCGCGCCGGCCCCUGGGAGGUGUAGUGCCGCUCUCUGCGCGCCGGGGGGGAGCAUCGCGCCGAGAACUACAGCGGCCGUGGUGCAGUGCGGAGGGGGUGGGACGGGCUCGCCGAGCAGCGUGGUUGGCCCGAAGGGACGGCGUCAGCCGACUGCCGGGCUGCGAGCGACCAAUGCAAUGUGGCCACUGCUGCGGAAAGCGAGUUUGUACAGUUCCUCGUUAGUAUAGUGGUCAAGACAUCCGAUGUAAACAUGAUGAACUGACAACUUAGGAGGAUACAAGCCCUUUGCUCCACCUUGAUUAUUCUACGGAGACUCCUAGCCAUAAACCUUUUGGCUCAUAAGAGAAGAGGGGAAUGUGUUUGUCCCUCAGAAGGUGCUGAAGCAAUUUACACCAAUAGCUGCUGUAUGCUGCUGAUCCCUACACAUGGUGAAACAGCUGAUCAUAUAAAUACAAAAAGCAACUUAAAAGAAUUUAAUCUUUA